GACGAACGCUGGCGGCGUGCUUAACACAUGCAAGUCGAGCGGUAAGGCCCUUUCGGGGGUACACGAGCGGCGAACGGGUGAGUAACACGUGGGUGACCUGCCCUCAGCUCUGGGAUAAGCCUGGGAAACCGGGUCUAAUACUGGAUAUGACUCCAUGACGCAUGUUGUGGGGUGGAAAGCCUUGUGCGGCUGAGGAUGGGCCCGCGGCCUAUCAGCUUGUUGGUGGGGUGAUGGCCUACCAAGGCGCCGACGGGUAGCCGGCCUGAGAGGGCGACCGGCCACACUGGGACUGAGACACGGCCCAGACUCCUACGGGAGGCAGCAGUGGGGAAUCUUGCGCAAUGGGCGAAAGCCUGACGCAGCGACGCCGCGUGAGGGAUGACGGCCUCGG
rnacentral:rRNA from 1 species